AUUUUAUCAUUGCUAAGGUAUUUACCUAUUUUACCCCUAACCGAACAAGGCGUGACGUACAUUUAAGUUUUUAACAAUCAAUUGGACAUACACAGUCUGGUAGGGACUAACUUGAAAGGUGGCAAGUCUUGUUACAAUUUUCGUAAAGAUGAAGGACCACUGGUGCAUUUUUUAUUUAUUUUUAUUUUUUAAUUUUUUUCCAACAGGAACAGCAAUAAUUUCGGGCCUAACUAUAAAUAAAUGUUUCCAGGUCAAGACAAUCUCUUAAAUAAGUGUUUCCUAGUCAAUGAAUCUGAAAUAGGCAACAAGUACAGGGAUCAACGACGACGUCGUUGUCGUUUAGCUGAUGAAUCCCAGCGAACGACGACGUCGUAAUUAACAAAGAAAUAAACAACAAUUAAAAGAUGCCGACGAGAAUUAUGAAUUAUUAAAAAAGUAAUUAAAAUAAUUUGAAGGAGUUGAAGGGUGCCGUCCAGCGUGAUGGAUUUUAAGACUUACAGUCAAUGAAGAAUCAAGCAAGCGCGUUGAAAUGAACGCGCCAAUGGUGAGAAUUAAAAAGAUGAGAAGUAUGAAUGAAGAUCUAGCAAAUGGCCGCCAAAUCGCCUCCAUAGAUGCCUCUGAUUCUCACAAUAAAAUGCCCAGCUGACGCGUAUCUACAAUAUUCUUCAAAAUAUUAAAUACCGGGGUGUGGAGUGGGUGGAGGGAUGGACUAAAAGUAAAAUUUUCUGCAACUUUAGCUGUUUCUGGAAACGAAAAUAUGAUGCUAACAACAAAGGGAUCGUGAUUCUACUGGGUCUUACUUUCACUUCUAAUUUUCUUUUUCUCUCUCUUUUUUUUUUUUUUGUGGCAAAAAUCAAGAAUACGAAGAGCUUCAAAUUUGUUUGAUGAGAAACAUGGUGGGGAAUUUGGUGAACUAAGUGGAAGCCAGCUGAAGAAAAAGGUAACACAAAAGGAGAAGAUAGAGAGAGAUGAUUGACCUGUCUGGGUGUAUUCACAUGGUAGUGUACUGAGAUCAACAAUAAUUUCAAAAUAACCCAAACUGACCACAGAAUUUACAUUAAUUUAUUCCUUUACCACCCUUAUUAUAUAUAUAUAUAUAUAUAUAUAUUGAGAGAGAGAGA
rnacentral:lncRNA from 1 species